rnacentral:rRNA from 1 species
AGAUGAGAUUUCCCAUAGCGCCAAGCUAGUAAGACCCCUUGCAGAUGACAAGGUUGAUAGGUCUGAGGUGGAAGCGUGGUGACACGUGGAGCUGACAGAUACUAAUCGGUCGAGGGCUUAUCCAA